CCGCAUACGCCCNUNCGGGGGAAAGCGGGGGAUCUUCNGGNCCUCGCAGCUAACAGAUGAGCCUGCGUUGGAUUAGCUAGUUGGUAGGGUAAANNCCUACCAAGGCGACGAUCCAUAGCUGGUCUGAGAGGACGAUCAGCCACACUGGGACUGAGACACGGGCCCAGACUCCUACGGGAGGCAGCAGUGGGGAAUAUUGGACAAUGGGCGCAAGCCUGAUCCAGCAAUACCGCGUGUGUGAAGAAGGCCUGANGGUUGUAAAGNACUUUUAAUCGGGAGGAAAACCUAUCGGCCAAUAGGCGAUANCUUGAAAUUACCGAUAGAGNG
rnacentral:rRNA from 1 species